rnacentral:rRNA from 1 species
CCUACGGGUGGCAGCAGUGAGGAAUAUUGGUCAAUGGGCGCGAGCCUGAACCAGCCACGUCGCGUGAGGGAAGACGGUCCUAUGGAUUGUAAACCUCUUUUGCCGGGGAGCAAAAAGCGCCACGCGUGCCGUUCCGAGAGUACCCGAAGAAAAAGCAUCGGCUAACUCCGUGCCAGCAGCCGCGGUAAUACGGAGGAUGCGAGCGUUAUCCGGAUUUAUUGGGGUAAAGGGGUGCGCAGGCGGAAGGUCAAGUCAGCGGUAAAAUUGAGGGGCUCAACCUCUUCGAGCCGUUGAAACUGGUUUGCUGGAGUGAGCGAGAAGUACGCGGAAUGCGUGGUGUAGCGGUGAAAUGCAUAGAUAUCACGCAGAACUCCGAUUGCGAAGGCAGCAUACCGGCGCUCAACUGACGCUCAUGCACGAAAGCGUGGGUAUCGAACAGGAUUAGAUACCCCGGUAGUC